GACGAACGCUGGCGGCGUGCUUAACACAUGCCAGUCGAACGGAAAGGCCCUGCUUUUGUGGGGUGCUCGAGUGGCGAACGGGUGAGUAACACGUGAGUAACCUGCCCUUGACUUUGGGAUAACUUCAGGAAACUGGGGCUAAUACCGGAUAGGAGCUCCUGCUGCAUGGUGGGGGUUGGAAAGUUUCGGCGGUUGGGGAUGGACUCGCGGCUUAUCAGCUUGUUGGUGGGGUAGUGGCUUACCAAGGCUUUGACGGGUAGCCGGCCUGAGAGGGUGACCGGCCACAUUGGGACUGAGAUACGGCCCAGACUCCUACGGGAGGCAGCAGUGGGGAAUAUUGCACGAUGGGCGGAAGCCUGAUGCAGCAACGCCGCGUGCGGGAUGACGGCCUUCGGGUUGUAAACCGCUUUCGCCUGUGACGAAGCGUGAGUGACGGUAAUGGGUAAAGAAGCACCGGCUAACUACGUG
rnacentral:rRNA from 1 species